rnacentral:tRNA from 1 species
UCACUUUUAAAGGAACUAGAAAC